rfam:Yokenella regensburgei ATCC 43003 genomic scaffold Scfld157, whole genome shotgun sequence.
UUAACUCCGCUGCUUUUUCUUCCUAACGUGGAAGGUACAAGGGAAAGGGAAGAAUUAUCCUCCUCCUGGUGUCUUAGUAAGCUGGUAGGCUAAUCACUGAGAGUAUCACUAGUAUGAUGACUAACUUCAUCAUAUGCCCUUUCCUUCUG